UAACACAUGUUUCUGAAUCAUCGCAUAAUUUGCAAGAUGAAGAGAUUGAUUAUGAACAAUUACAAGAAGAUUUUGGAAUAGAAGAUAAUGAAAUUGGAAUAGAAGAUGAGAUACCACCUACACCUAGUAGUGGAAUAUGAACAAUUACAAGAAGAUUUUGGAAAGAAGAUAAUAAAAUUGGAAUAGAAGAUGAGAUACCACCUACACCUAGUUGUGGAAAUGUUGGUAGUAUUGGAGUUGGAGUUGCUAGUGCUACAAGGGGUAGAAGACCAACAGUGGCUCCAACUUCUACUCGUAAAAAAAGAAGUCCGGUUUGGAAAUUUUUUGAAAUAAUA
rnacentral:lncRNA from 1 species